rnacentral:rRNA from 1 species
UACGAAGGGGGCUAGCGUUGCUCGGAAUCACUGGGCGUAAAGGGUGCGUAGGCGGGCAUUUAAGUCAGUGGUGAAAUACCUGAGCUUAACUUGGGAACUGCCAUUGAUACUAUUUGUCUUGAAUGUCGUGGAGGUUAGCGGAAUAUGUCAUGUAGCGGUGAAAUGCUUAGAUAUGACAUAGAACACCUAUUGCGAAGGCAGCUAACUACGCGAAUAUUGACGCUGAGGCACGAAAGCGUGGGGAUCAAACAGG